CAGCUACCUUGAGAAAGAAGCUGUGACUCAAAAUCUUGUACCCAUGGAACUGAGUUUGAGGGUUUACAUGCUUCCUUUCUUUUUCAGGUCCUCCUCAUCCCCUUAGCAGGAAAGUGUGAUAUAUCACAUGUAAUAUGUUGUUUAUAUUGUAUACUUUAAAGCAGCUUUCAGGGGACAAAAAAGCAUUUAAUGGAGGAAAAGCGAUAAAUAUAUAUUUAUAUAUACAUAUUUGUUGUUUUUUUUUCUAUUCAUCAAAGAAUCCUAAAAAAAAAAAAUUUAUAAAUAAAUGUAACACUGAUAAUAAUAGUAAGAUUUUGUAUUCUUGAAUAAAAACCAAAACAGCAUAUUACAAUGGUUCCUGAAGGAUUGUGUGACACUGGAAACUGGAACAAUAGCUGCUGAAAAGUCAGCUUUGACAUCAGAUCAAUAAAUAACAUUUUUAGAUAUAUUAAAAUAGAAAAUAGUUAUUAUAAAUUGCAGUAAUAUUUUCCAAUAAUACUUUUUAUUGUUUUUAUUGUAUUUCUGAUCAAACACUCUAUAAAAUGUUGGGUUGUUUCAAGAAAACACAUUGCCUUGUAGACCUAAAAACUUACAAGUCUCUGAAGUCCCAUCUUAACUGCCUGUGAUUCUACAUCAAAUCUCAAGUCACUUUCUUAGUGUAAGUGUGGCUCAAGUCCGAGUCUUUUCUGACAGAAAGAUGUUAGUAUGAGAGAGAAGAGUGUAUGUAUGUGUGUAAGGACAGUAAAGCGAUAGAGAUGUGCUUGGUUCGAGAGUGUAAGAGAGAGAGAUAGAGAGAUUCACCGUGCACUGCCUCCGGCUACCAUUAUGUCUUCCAUUUGUCUGUAGAAGUAUGGGUCAGUGUGUGUGAGAGGGAGUUUGUGUCUGUUUGCUGUGGUUAGACGUAUGUGUGUGUGUUGGAGGACAGGGGUUGUUCUCAUUAUCAUGUGGUGUGUGUGAUUAGCAGGCUAGCUGCUGCAGUAGGCAGGCUGCAUCGUUUACCAUGCUGUCAACACUACAGCCUUCCACUGAGCCCUGCUAUUACUCACCAUACAACACACACACACACACACACACACACACACACACACACACACACACACACACACACACACACACUUCAACGUGCUCACUACAUGUGUGGGUGUGCAUGACCAAGACAAAAUGCAGCAGAACUGCACGAGAGCAUUCAUAUACAUAAUUUCCAUAGUAUCAAACUCAAAUCAAAUCAGCGCAUAUAUAAUUGAGAGUGAUGGCAAAAGAAAAAAAAUUUUUUUUUUUUGCACAGAUCCUUGAAUGUUACUGAGAUAAAUCAACAGCACAAGCCAGAUUAACUGACACCGACAGUUGAACCGUAAAUGCAUACAGUAUGAAUACACAGAUUUCUGCACACAAGGAGUAUGAAAAACAAAUCAACAAAGCCUGUCAUAAAAGCAUGGGCGGCUGGUGGCAGCCCGAAACGAUUCUUCAGCAUUGGAGUGUGAUAAAAAACAAAAAAAUCUAAAUAUUUUUAAUUGGCAGAAAAGGUAGAUAAUUUUGAAGGUUAAAGAAGUUUGGUAAUUCAGAAGAACUCAAAAAUAAGGGCCACAGUCAAAGAUGCCUCCUCUUAAAAAACACUUCCCCACCCCAAAGAUGGAAAAGAAAAGAGCAUGAGAGAGAAAGCGCAUCUAAAAGAAAUGGAGGGAUUAGGGCUUUGCAAGAGUUAACUACGCUCUUUUUGCGUGGGGACCUGCAGGAUUAUAGAUAACAAAUGUUAGCAGAGCGCUCUGACCUGCUUGCUGAAAGAAAAGUGUGUCUGUUCAUGCUAAAACAGCAGAGUCUGCAUCGGCAAUGCUGCUUAGAGAAGGAAAAGAAAAGGCGUGCAGAAGAAAAAGAUAAAAAGAGGAGUAUCAGAGCGGGUGGGAAGAGUGAAAGAAGGGAACAUAAGAAGAAAAAGAAGGGUCGCUUGUAAGUUGCACGCUUGCCAGGACGCAGUCGGGGUGGUGUAUCGUGCAGCGAUUGUUAAUUAAUGAAGCGAUUAAUUGUGUCGAUUGAGGAGAUUUUCAGCAAGGUGCAAACCUUAAGCGGAUUUACACUGAGUCUACAGACUCUGAGUGUGUGAGUUACACUUUCCACUCAAGCAAACAAGCCAAAUCUCGUCUAAGCCUUCCUAUAAACUCUUAUUGCUAAUCAUCAGCCAUGCAUUCCCAGCAUGCUCUGGCCUUUUCUCCCUCCCAGUCCAUUCCAGGACCUGCAGGGCUGAAAUUGCAGUUGGGGCCUGGGGGAUUCAGGCUUUGCUAUCUUGACUGACCCAAGCACCAGCUGCUCUCAGACCAGUCAAUCCUCAAUUAAAAGCAGUCUAAUUUAAUUCAGUUAGUGCUUGACCACAGACGACAUCGAGACAGGAGCUCUUGGUGUCUGGUCGUGACCCUUUUCGGGCUGGAGCUGGUCUGGCCACUCUGCUGUUUGCCAUCGCCUAACCGGUCCAAAACACACAUGUAACCCCGUGGCUAGAAGUUCAGUGCAAGCAUAUUGUGGUGAUCUCAAAGCAUCUGUUGCAAAAGCAGCCUUUCUUGAUAUAAUACGGUUGAAUUCAUAUACAAAUGCCCCUUGAUCCCAUCAUUAGCUCUUUCAGUGGACUUCUCAGAUGUCUCCAAAGCAAGUCAUUCGUUCUUCUUUG
ensembl:lncRNA